rnacentral:lncRNA from 1 species
UGAAACGGAAUGAAGGUUUCUCGGCAACACAUGGAUUUUUAGAAGAUUUUCUAGAAAUUUAAGGAAAGGAAGAGCUAAGGGAUGAGCUCUUGGAAGUCUUAGUGAAGAAAGGAAAUCAAGAAGAAAAAGGAGAAAGCUUACCGUGCGAAGGAGGAAAGCUUCUCAGAUCUUCUUGUUUUCGUCUCUCUCUCAACUUUUUUUUUCUCUCUCUCUCUCUCUCGGUCAAGUGAAGAAGAAGAAGGAAAAUGAAGAAAUGGAGGAGGAGAGAGGAAAAAUGGGCUUUAAAGAGCCAAGUGGGGUGCAUUGAUCUGUUGGAUCACAAGCGAUGGUUGAUGGCCAUUGAUUGGCCCAGUGGUCGACCGACUAUCGAAUCAUGGUGUACAUGCAAACCAUGUGGCGACCAGGUAGCGGGGCAUGAGGUGGUGUGUGCGACAGGCGUGCGACAUAUGCGUGGCAGAUGUGCGGCAUGCAUGCGGCAGGCAUGUGGCAAACAGAGGUGACAACAAUAGGACGCACACACUGUUCCUGCAAACGCAUUGUAAGCGCAGGAGCACACAGGCUUGCGGGCUCGCAAGUGUUUCCUGCGGGCUGUCUUUCCCCAUGGGUCCCUUUUUUUAAUUUUUUUCAUUUCGUUUAAAAUUUCCAGCACUUUGGC